rnacentral:snoRNA from 1 species
GUAUCCAUGGUAUGGGUAUUACAAUAUAAGUGAUUUGAAGUGAUCCCAUACUUCAUGAAAGGACUCAGUAUCCUUUUGAUAAAAAUUAGAAAUUUUAGCUCUCAAUUC